rnacentral:rRNA from 1 species
CAGCGCCACAAGUGGUAAUCGUUUAUUUGGCCUAAAGCGUCCGUAGCCGGUUUGAUAAAUCUUCUGUGAAAUCAUUAAGCCUAACUUAAUGGCGAGCAGGAGACACUGUUAAACUUGGAACCGGGAGGAGUCAGAGGUAUUUUUGGGGGAGCGGUAAAAUGCUAUAAUCCCAAGAAGACCACCUGUGGCGAAGGCGUCUGACUAGAACGGAUUCGACGGUGAGGGACGAAAGCUAGGGGAGCGAUCCGGAUUAGAUACCCGAGUAGUCC